rnacentral:rRNA from 1 species
UACAUUUUAAUUUUUAACUCUAUUUGUUGUUAUAUUACUUUUUUCUUAUUCUUUUUUAUGUUUUUUUUUGUAAAAAGUUUUGAUUUUUUUGUAUUUUUUUGUAAUAUUUAAAAUUUGUUUUUUGAACUGGAUUAGUACCCAGGUAAUCAAAGUUUAUUAAUUCGGGAGUAAAGUUUUGUUUAAACCGAAAAAAUAUUGACUGACUUUAGAUUUUUCUUUGGAAUAUGUGUUUUUGGAGAGCCCUCUUUUUUGGUGAAUUUUAUUGGCACAUGUAUGAUUGUUUAGUUUUUA